CUGUUUCUCACACACAUCCAUGAGGGAAGAAUCAUUCCCAUUUAACAGACAAUGUAACUGGGCCUGAAUAUAGCUCAGCGACUUGCCCCAGGCCCACCAGGAAGUGGAUAAAGCCAUGCUCAACCCAGCACUUCUUCUCUCUACCUUCCACCGAUCCUGCCUGCUCAUCUUCCCUCCUUGGUGAAGGCAUGUGUGCUGUGCUCUGCUUAACUAAUUUCCCUCAGAUAUUCGCAUUUCUGUCUUUACAAUUUGGCAUCCCAGUGAGGUUUCCCUUUGUAUAUUUUCCGGUUCCUAUAUUCCCAUUAUUCAGGUAUCAUCACUCAAUAACCAUUUGACAGCAGUAAUGCUUUUCACAUGGAAAGAAUUGGGUUUUUAUUGAUGGCAAAUGUUGUGAUGAACUUUCAUGCCCACUUGGAGCCGGAGCACUUUUUUAUAGAAUGAACCACAAUGAGAAGCGUUUCCAAGAAAUGUCUUUGGAGUGUGGACUGAGAUGUACGUUUAGGAACAGGUCCUGUGGCCAGAGUGGGGAGAGAGGGGGCUUCCCAUUGUCAAAAUCUCAUCAAUCAAAAUGUAUAAUAGCAACAUUAUUAAUAACCCUAUAGUUGCAUUGCACUUGGUGCUCUUCCAAGCACUUCCCUAGAAUCCUAAAAUGAAGGCAGGGCAGAUAUUAUAUCCAUGUUACAGGUUAAACAACAUUGUAACAGGACUGAUAACACCAUGAAUGAGAAGUCAUUUGAUCAAUGGAGAGCCAGUUAUUAAACAUUUACCAACAUGUGCAAGAACGGGUUUCAAGGCCGAGGUGGGCAGAUCACAAGGUCAGGACUUUGAGACCAGCCUGGCCAAUAUGGUGAAACCCCAUUUCUACUAAAAAUACAAAAAAAUUAGCCAGGCGUGGUGAUGCAUGCCUGUAAUCCCAGCUACUCGGUAGGCUGAGGCAGGAGAAUUGCUUGAACCCGGGAGGCGGAGGUUUGCAGUGAGCCAAGAUCGCGCCACUGCACUCCAGCCUGGCAACAGAGCAAGACUCCGUCUCAAACAAAACACAGCACAACAAAACAAAAAAGAACGAGUUUCAUAGUGAGAAACAGCGGAGAAACCAGCUUACCUGGUGGGCCUUGAGUGGCCCCUACAAACUCCAACCUGUUCAAGACUCAUUUGCCACGUUGUACCUUCCAGCCAAGGCAAUCCCCCCAGCCUGAGCUACUUCCCAGACCAGACCACAGAAGCAAGGCCAUGCUCACCGAGGACCCCACUUGUGGACUAGACUUCUGUCCUGCUGUGGCCUCAAAAGCAAUAGCCAGGGCCCCAUGAUGAAGCUGCCAUCAGAAGCACAGGUGUGCCUGGCAAGGACACAGGAGGACCACGGCUCCAUGCCGAUGAGAAUGGCAGCUAAGUCUGAAGCUUUCUAUGAUUUAGAUUCCUGGUUGCGAGAGGGAGCCUAUAGGAAUGGCGAGAAGAGUGAGAACUUUGCAGAGGCAGCAAGGUGAGUUUAAACUGGAAACUAUGAAGUUCCUGGAACUUGGAGGUGGAAAAGUGAAAUACAUGAGUGAAUGAAUGAAUGAAUGAAUGACUUACUCUUAAUAUAUUAAUUUGACCCGCAGAGGUCUAGUCUAUUCCAAAUUAAGAGAGGAAAGAGACAUGACAGCUAAUGCAAUAUGGGAUCCUUGAUCAAAUCAGAGAAUUUUUGUUAAAGAGCUAUGAAGAAUAUUCUUGAGCUAAUUUGAAAAUUUUAAUAUAUUGCUGUUUAGUAUAUUUAAUAUUAUUUUACGUAUUAACAUAUUUUAAUAUUUAAAUAAUACACAAUAUUAAUAAUAGAUAAUAUUAUUUUAUUAAAGUUUCUUUGGUGUGAUGUCAUGUUUUGGAGAUGUAUAUAUAUAAAUAUAUCUAUAUAGAUAUAUCUAUAUAGAUAUAUAGAUAGAUAUACAGAUAUAUAGAUAUAUAUAGAUAUAUAGAUAUAUAGAUAUGUAAUGAGUAUUUAUGCCUAAAGUGUCAUGAUAUCUGAAACUUACUUUAAAGUGGUUGAGGGGGGAAAAUAGAGAAAGAAGAGAGAGAGAGAUGCAGUGAGAUGUUAAUUGGUGAAUAAUCUAGGUAGAGUAUUUAUUGUAAAAUUCUUUCAAAUUUUCUGAAAGCUUAAAAGUAUUCUAAAUAAAAAUUUGGAUUAAAAUUAAUAUAACAGGCUGGGCUUGGUGACUCAUGUCUGAAAUCCUAGUGCUUUGGGAGGCCAGUGUGGGAGGAUCACUUGAAGCUGGGAGUUUGAGAUCAGCCUUGGCAACAAAGCAAGACCCUAUCUCUACAAAAAAUAAUUUUAAAUUAUUUUAAAUUAGCUGAGUGUUGUGGCUUGUACCUAUCAUCCUAGCUACUUGGGAGGCUGAGGAAAGAGGAUCACUUGAACCCAGGAGUUGGAGGCUGCAGUGAGCUAGCAUCCUGCCACUGUGCUCACUCCAGCCUGGGUAACAAAGCGAGACCAUGUCUCUAAAUUAAUAAUAAUAAUAAAACAAAUAAAGCCUAAAAAA
rnacentral:lncRNA from 10 species